AGAGUUUGAUCCUGGCUCAGGACGAACGCUGGCGGCGUGCUUAACACAUGCAAGUCGAGCGGAAAGGCCCUUCGGGGUACUCGAGCGGCGAACGGGUGAGUAACACGUGAGCAACCUGCCCUUGGCUCUGGGAUAGCUCCGGGAAACCGGGAUUAAUACCGGACAGGACCCCUUCUUGCAUGGGAGGGGGUGGAAAGUUU
rnacentral:rRNA from 1 species